rnacentral:ncRNA from 1 species
CAUUUAUCAGACCAAAAACCGGCCGCGUCUUCGGGCGCGUUCGCCUUGGUGACUCUGGAUAACUUUGCGGAUCGCACGGUCUAGCACCGGCGACGGAUCAUUCAAGUGUCUGCCCUAUCAACUUUCGUCGGUACGGUAUUUGCCUACCGAGGUUCUUACGGGUGACGGGGAAUCAGGGUUCGAUUCCGGAGAGGGAGCCUGAGAAACGGCUACCACAUCCAAGGAAGGCAGCAGGCGCGCAAAUUACCCAUUCCCGACGCGGGGAGGUAGUGACGAAAAAUAACAAUGCAGGACUCGUUCGAGGCCCGGUAAUUGGAAUGAGUACACUUUAAAAGCUUUAACGAGUAUCCAUUGGAGGGCAAGUCUGGUGCCAGCAGCCGCGGUAAUUCCAGCUCCAAAAGUAUAUAUUUAAGUUGUUGCGGUUAAAAAGCUCGUAGUUGGAUUUUGGGCGCAGGCGGCCGGUCCGUCGCAAGGCGUGUACUGGACGUCCUGGCCUUCCCUCCGGUUCUCCGCCGGUGCUCUUGACUGAGUGUCGGCGGCGGCCGGAACGUUUACUUUGAAAAAAUUAGAGUGUUCAAAGCAGGCUCUCGAGCCUGGAUAAUGGUGCAUGGAAUAAUGGAAUAGGACCUCGGUUCUAUUUUGUUGGUUUUCG